UACGGAGGGUGCAAGCGUUAUCCGGAUUUACUGGGUUUAAAGGGUGCGUAGGCGGGUCUUUAAGUCAGUGGUGAAAACUUCGAGCUUAACUCGAAAACUGCCAUUGAUACUAUUGAUCUUGAAUACUGUGGAGGUAAGCGGAAUAUGUCAUGUAGCGGUGAAAUGCUUAGAUAUGACAUAGAACACCGAUAGCGGAGGCAGCUUGCUACACAGUCAUUGACACUGAGGCACGAAAGCGUGGGGAUCAAACAGG
rnacentral:rRNA from 1 species